UCGAAGGGCUAUUAUGAAAAUAUUUAUUUAAAUAUUUUUAAACAAAUAAUAGCAUCAAAUUUGUUCAUAAAACAAAUGUAUAUACGGUGGCUUUUUAAAUUUUUAAUUUUAAAAGUGUCAA
rnacentral:sRNA from 1 species